CCUCUCACUCUCUUCUCUCUCUCUAACAACAAUAUUAGAUGGUCUGUUUGUUUUCCGUCGACAAUGGUGAACCAGAGAACGACGGACGGCGGCAGUGGUUAGCUCCGGCCGUUUGGUGAUGAAGAUGAUGAGUUGGAGCUGGCCGACGGCGGCAACGAUUCGGGCAUUAUAGACAUCAGCUGCGUGACGGAUCGGUUCGGGUCAAGUCUUAUCUCGGUCAAACCGAGUCAACUCGGGUCAGCGAUUAGUCAAACGGUCAGCCCCUGUUCGGGAGUCACGGUUCAGAUCUCGAUUAGUCAAACGUACACACCCUCUCGAUCCUCCUCAAAUCUCUCGGGCAUCCCUAGCUUCUUUUUUCUUCCGAAUUCCGGCCCUGUGUUGUUAGAAUACGUUGAAUGUAUCUAACUUGCAUGCAAUGUCUUCCAACUGAUCGCUGUAUACUCCCCUAUGCGAGCCCGAACUCCCAACUGAAGGCGAUGGCGUACCCGAUCUUGAUUUUUGAGCGCGCCUUUUUGCGGCAUCUCUUCCGUUUUCUGGCCGGUUUGGCGAAUCAUCCACAAAGUCCUCCAACUCUUGAUCUCGUGCAUCCGAUUGGGCUUGUGACUUCUCUUCUUGAUGGGUUUGGAUGCGGAAGGACCAUCGAUGGUGGGUUGAGUUUCGGGGACGGUUUCGGUUUGGGAAAGGUUGAUGGACGUUUGUGAAAGGUUGAUGGGCGUUUGUGGAAUCGGGCUAGGUAUAGAAUCGUCGGUGUGAGGGAAGUUAGUAUACACACGAUUCGAGAGAAACGAUGCGUAACCCGCCAUAUCGGGCAUAGUGGAGUGUAUUAAAAAGGGAGCAAUUGAAUGAUUGGGUGGUGGGCUAGGAUUUUCUUGUAAUGCCCACGGGUUGUUCGGUCAAAACCACGAUUAUGAGGAUUCAUUUUUCGUAUUGUGGUUGGAUGAGAAUUUUUUUUUAAAAAUAAGAUAGAGAUGAUUAUAGAAGAGGUGGAGUAGUUGUGAUAAAAAAAUGAAUAGAAAUGUGAGUUUUUAUAGUUAAAAAAUCAA